rnacentral:rRNA from 1 species
UACGUAGGGUGCAAGCGUUGUCCGGAAUUAUUGGGCGUAAAGAGCUCGUAGGCGGUUCGUCGCGUCGGCUGUGAAAACCUGAGGCUCAACCUCAGGCCUGCAGUCGAUACGGGCGGACUUGAGUACUGCAGGGGAGACUGGAAUUCCUGGUGUAGCGGUGGAAUGCGCAGAUAUCAGGAGGAACACCGAUGGCGAAGGCAGGUCUCUGGGCCGACACUGACACUGAGAGACGAAAGCUAGGGGAGCGAAUGGG